rnacentral:rRNA from 1 species
GACGAACGCUGGCGGCGUGCUUAACACAUGCAAGUCGAACGGAAAGGCCCUGCUUUUGUGGGGUGCUCGAGUGGCGAACGGGUGAGUAACACGUGAGUAACCUUCCCUUGACUUUGGGAUAACUUCAGGAAACUGGGGCUAAUACCGGAUAUGAGCUCCUGCUGCAUGGUGGGGGUUGGAAAGUUUCGGCGGUUGGGGAUGGACUCGCGGCUUAUCAGCUUGUUGGUGGGGUAGUGGCUUACCAAGGCUUUGACGGGUAUCCGGCCUGAGAGGGUGACCGGCCACAUUGGGACUGAGAUACGGCACAGACUCCUACGGGAGGCAGCAGUGGGGAAUAUUGCACAAUGGGCGGAAGCCUGAUGCAGCAACGCCGCGUGCGGGAUGACGGCCUUCGGGUUGUAAACCGCUUUCGCCUGUGACGAAGCGUGAGUGACGGUAAUGGGUAAAGAAGCACCGGCUAACUACGUG